rnacentral:rRNA from 1 species
CACGCCGUAAACGAUGUUCACUAGGUGUUGGGGGUAUUGACCCCCUCAGUGCCGGAGCUAACGCAUUAAGUGAACCGCCUGGGGAGUACGGUCGCAAGACUAAAACUCAAAGGAAUUGACGGGGGCCCGCACAAGCGGUGGAGCAUGUGGUUUAAUUCGAUGCAACGCGAAGAACCUUACCUGGGCUUGACAUCUGGGGAAUCCCCUGGAAACAGGGGAGUGCCUUUCGGGGAGCCCCAAGACAGGUGC